rnacentral:rRNA from 1 species
AACGUAGGAGACAAACGUUAUCCGGAGUUACUGGGCGUAAAGGGCGUGCAGGCGGUCUGUUAAGUCUGGCGUGAAAGCUCUCGGCUAAACCGGGAGAGGUCGUUGGAUACUGACGGACUAGAGGACGGAAGAGGCGAGUGGAAUUCCUGGUGUAGCGGUGAAAUGCGCAGAUAUCAGGAGGAACACCAAUUGCGAAGGCAGCUCGCUGGGACGUAACUGACGCUGAGACGCGAAAGCGUGGGGAGCAAACAGG